AGUCAAUAGAUACCCCGGUAGUCCACGCCGUAAACUAUGGAUGCUAGCUGUUAGAGGUAUCGACCCCUCUAGUAGCGAAAGCUAACGCGUUAAGCAUCCCGCCUGUGGAGUACGGUCGCAAGACUAAAACAUAAAGGAAUUGACGGGGACCCGCACAAGCGGUGGAGCGUGUUGUUUAAUUCGAUGGUAAGCGAAGAACCUUACCCAGGCUUGACAUCCUUGGAAUUUUGGCGAAAGCCGAGAGUGCCUUCGGGUAACCAAGUGACAGGUGUUGCAUGGCCGUCGUCAGCUCGUGUCGUGAGAUGUUUGGUUAAGUCCAUCAACGAGCGCAACCCUUAUAGUUAGUUGAAUUUUUCUAGCUAGACUGCCCUGGCAACAGGGAGGAAGGAGGGGAUGAUGUCAGGUCAGUAUUACCCUUACGUCUGGGGCUACAAACACGCUACAAUGGCCGGUACAAAGGGCAGCCAAGUCGCGAGACGGAGCAAAUCCCAUCAAAGCCGGUCUAAGUUCGGAUAGCAGGCUGAAACUCGCCUGCUUGAAGCUGGAA
rnacentral:rRNA from 1 species